rnacentral:rRNA from 1 species
AGCGAACGCUGGCGGCAGGCCUAACACAUGCAAGUCGAACGAACCUUUCGGGGUUAGUGGCGGACGGGUGAGUAACACGUGGGAACGUGCCUUUAGGUUCGGAAUAACUCAGGGAAACUUGUGCUAAUACCGAAUGUGCCCUUCGGGGGAAAGAUUUAUCGCCUUUAGAGCGGCCCGCGUCUGAUUAGCUAGUUGGUUGAGGUAAUGGCUCACCAAGGCGACGAUCAGUAGCUGGUCUGAGAGGAUGAUCAGCCACAUUGGGACUGAGACACGGCCCAAACUCCUACGGGAAGCAGCAGUGGGGAAUCUUGCGCAAUGGGCGAAAGACUGACGCAGCCAUGCCGCGUGAAUGAUGAAGGUCUUAGGAUUGUAAAAUUCUUUCACCGGGGACGAUAAUGACGGUACCCGGAGAAGAAGCCCCGGCUAACUUCGUG